AUGUGCCUAUGGCGGUUUGCUGUCAAAAGCUAAGCUAUCUUGUCUUCGAAAAUUACAAAUGAAUUCAUAGUCUGAGGAAACGUGAAAGUCGUGUCGUGCAGCCGACCGUCAACUAUUUUGUUCAAACUCAUUCUAGUCUACUGAAUGUGCCGUCGAAAUGAUACUGAAUUCAUCUUAAUUAUUGGCUGUAUCUAUUGGACUUGCUAGAUCACCAACCCCAGAAUGGACCAUUCUCUCAUUCCAUUUUCUAGAGAGCCUUGGAUAACUGAUCAAUGGAUUAUCAUGUAUAUAGAUAUUUUCUUACAGAGCACGCAGUUUCUUUGUGGAAUCGUGUGGUCAUGGCACGGAUAUUCUUGAGCCAACGCUGGCUUUUUUCCAUGACCAACGUUCUGCUCCAUCCUUAUCUUCCCGACGUAAGCUCAUCCAGCUUCUGCUUCAUCGCUUCGUACACAAAAAUCCAACUUUUCUUACUUCACUGACGAGUUUGAACACUUCAGUGGUCGCUUCCGUGCCGCUGCUACACACCUGCAGUCACUCACCACGGGAUUAUGCCCAGGUAAUGCAGAGGAGACGUCGAGAAGAUGGACAGCAAAACAUCUCCGUUAUCUCCAAAAUAUCAGCGCAGAUCAUCAUUUGUUGUUGGUAUUAUUUGUGUUUGUGUUAAGUUAACCCGUUGGCUGCCACGCCUUUGUUCUCCCCUAGCUCCUUAGCACGGGCCACGCUGUUUGGGCUCGUGGUUUUCAUGCCGCUGGGUCGGAGAGUCGCACCAGCCCUAGAUUCGCCGAAAGGCCCCGUUAGGCAAUGCACCAUAGUUCCCCCCUUGUCGAUGCGGUGAUGGAUUCUAGAGGUUGUGCAUUCCAUCUUCUCCUGUCACCGUGUCAGCCCGGA